AGAGAUCAAGUUAUAUACUUUAGGUAAAAAGGCAGUUAGACAUUAAAAAAUUAAUAUAUCUAUUAAUAUAAAGAUUACUUAUUUAAAGGUAAAAUUUGUAAAUAAGUAUAUAUUUUAAUAUAAAUUAACAAAGUUGAAUCUGCGAAAUCCUUGAGGGAAACUGGGAUUAGAUACCCCACUAUUCUUGGUUAUAAAUAGAUGCAAAUCUACCAGAGUACUACGAAUUUAAUAUUAAAAUUUAAAACUCAAAGAGCUUGGCGGUGUUUUAGACCCUUCAGGGGUACCUGUCUCAUAAUCGACAGUCCACGUUAGACCUAACCUUUUUUUGUAAACAGUUUGUAUACCGUCGUCGUCAGGUAACUUUUUAGAAUAUAGAAGUUGGCAAUAAAAUUUUUAUUGAAUUAAAACGUCAGAUCAAGGUGCAGCCUAUAGAAAGGUGAGGAUGGGUUACAAUUAUUAGUUAUAAUAUGGAUAAAAUAAUGAAAACUACAUUUAAUGAAGGAGGACUUGAAAGUAAGGAAAACUAUACGGAUAAUUUGAAUUUGGCUCUGAAACAUGC
rnacentral:rRNA from 1 species